rnacentral:rRNA from 1 species
AGCGAACGCUGGCGGCAGGCCUAACACAUGCAAGUCGAACGAACUCUUCGGAGUUAGUGGCGGACGGGUGAGUAACACGUGGGAACGUGCCUUUUGGUUCGGAAUAACUCAGGGAAACUUGUGCUAAUACCGAAUGUGCCCUUCGGGGGAAAGAUUUAUCGCUAUUAGAGCGGCCCGCGUCUGAUUAGCUAGUUGGUGAGGUAACGGCUCACCAAGGCGACGAUCAGUAGCUGGUCUGAGAGGAUGACCAGCCACACUGGGACUGAGACACGGCCCAGGCUCCUACGGGAGGCAGCAGUGGGGAAUCUUGCGCAAUGGGCGAAAGCCUGACGCAGCCAUGCCGCGUGAAUGAUGAAGGUCUUAGGAUUGUAAAAUUCUUUCACCGGGGACGAUAAUGACGGUACCCGGAGAAGAAGCCCCGGCUAACUUCGUG